ACACUCCUACGGGAGGCAGCAGUGGGGAAUAUUGGACAAUGGGCGCAAGCCUGAUCCAGCCAUGCCGCGUGAGUGAUGAAGGCCCUAGGGUUGUAAAGCUCUUUCACCGGUGAAGAUAAUGACGGUAACCGGAGAAGAAGCCCCGGCUAACUUCGUGCCAGCAGCCGCGGUAAUACGAAGGGGGCUAGCGUUGUUCGGAUUUACUGGGCGUAAAGCGCACGUAGGCGGACUAUUAAGUCAGGGGUGAAAUCCCGGGGCUCAACCCCGGAACUGCCUUUGAUACUGGUAGUCUUGAGUUCGAGAGAGGUGAGUGGGAUUCCGAGUGUAGAGGUGAAAUUCGUAGAUAUUCGGAGGAACACCAGUGGCGAAGGCGGCUCACUGGCUCGAUACUGACGCUGAGGUGCGAAAGCGUGGGGAGCAAACAGGAUUAGAAACCCGAGUAGUCCCAU
rnacentral:rRNA from 1 species